rnacentral:tRNA from 1 species
GUUAAGAUAGCAAAAAGGUUAAUGCGGGAAGUCUAAGUUUUCUUUAUUAGAAGUUCAAUUCUUCUUCUUAAUU